rnacentral:rRNA from 1 species
GAUGAACGCUGGCGGCGUGCCUAAUACAUGCAAGUCGAGCGAAUGGAUUAAGAGCUUGCUCUUAUGAAGUUAGCGGCGGACGGGUGAGUAACACGUGGGUAACCUGCCCAUAAGACUGGGAUAACUCCGGGAAACCGGGGCUAAUACCGGAUAACAUUUUGAACCGCAUGGUUCGAAAUUGAAAGGCGGCUUCGUCUGUAACUUAUGGAUGGACCCGCGUCGCAUUAGCUAGUUGGUGAGGUAACGGCUCACCAAGGCAACGAUGCGUAGCCGACCUGAGAGGGUGAUCGGCCACACUGGGACUGAGACACGGCCCAGACUCCUACGGGAGGCAGCAGUAGGGAAUCUUCCGCAAUGGACGAAAGUCUGACGGAGCAACGCCGCGUGAGUGAUGAAGGCUUUCGGGUCGUCAAACUCUGUUGUUAGGGAAGAACAAGUGCUAGUUGAAUAAGCUGGCACCUUGACGGUACCUAACCAGAAAGCCACGGCUAACUACGUGCCAGCAGCCGCCGUAA